rnacentral:rRNA from 1 species
UGCGGUGCUCUUCUGUCAGUACGUCACAGCUAGCAGGUAUUAACUACUAACCUUUCCUCCUGACUGAAAGUGCUUUACAACCCGAAGGCCUUCUUCACACACGCGGCAUGGCUGCAUCAGGCUUGCGCCCAUUGUGCAAUAUUCCCCACUGCUGCCUCCCGUAGGA